ACCCUUCAUCCUGACCAAACCAUGGCAUGCUCUUUACCUGUAGAAUCAGCCUGGAGAAGACACGGGUCUCUUUAGAACCACCCGGGUGCUUUUGUCAGCAAACACUUUACACAAAUGCCUUUGAGAACUGGAUGAAAUAUAUGACUCUUUAAAGGCACACAUGCACAGACAGAGUUUUAUCUGUUACCAGGGAAUUUUUAGCCCCUCUAAAGCUUAUCCAUGAUGCUGAGAUAAGAACUCCCAGAUGAAGGGUAUCAAGUGAAUAUUUAUUCCAAAGUUGGGCACCCCCAGAAUCAUUCUCUUUGCAUCUUUAAGUGAACAUGUUAGGAUAUUCCAGUCCUCCCUCAGUGUAUUUGGAUGGUAUUAUUCACUCCCGACAACACGAUACUUAUGAGUUACUCCCUGAAACUUUCACCUCUGGGACACUUUAGUAAAAACUGGAUGAUACUGUCCUGCUGUACGGCACAGGAAACUCUAUCCAAUCACUUGUGAUAGAACAUGAGAGAAGAUAAUAUGAGAAAAAGAAUGUGUGUAUGUAAAACUGGGUCACUCUGCUGUACAGCAGAAAUUGACAGACCAUUGUAAAUCAAAUGUAAUAAAAAUUUUUUAAAUAAAGUGGACAAUGCCUUAAGCCCAAAAGGCAGCAGCCAAAGCGAUCCUGCACUAGCGAAGCAAGAUCUUCUCAUCUUCCCUGUCAGUCUUCAGCUUCUAAUUAUGCAAAUGAAACCUUGCCACUCAUUUGCUAGACCUCAUAAUUCACACUCAACAGGCUAUCCGUUGACAACUGUUUAUUGAGACACUGCCACGGAGGCAGGGCUGUGCCAAGCCCUCCUAAUCCCAUGGCACAGCACACUUGACCAAGAAAUACACAAGAGGAAUAAAGAGUGAAGGCACCAGGUAGGAGGGAUUAGUGAAAGGGAAAAGACUAGAUGUAACCCAGUGCUGAACUGCAGAGUAUCUGCCUUAGGGGACAAGGGAUGCUUGAAUGAGGUCAGCACUUCCUUGUAGAAACUGACUGAAUGGUACAAGGCAAAGAGAGGUUAGUGGCUAGUUUCUACACCUAGUUCUUUUAGGGGAAUCUGGCUUGCAUUCCUUGAAGCCUCCAUGGACACACCAGCUGGGGUCUACAGAGCUUGAUGGAUCAAGCAUGUUUGGUUGUUUUCUUUUUUUCCUCCCAAAGCAAGGAGCACAUUCUGAUGAGAGUUACAGGAAAUUGAAGAGGAAAAACACAAGAUAUGUCCUAUAAACAAAACAGCAAUGAAUCUACCUACCAGCUCAAGAAUUUUCUCACAGAUGGAAUUUCUUCUCUGAUAUCUUUUCCCCAGCCUGUCCACACUGACCAAAAGGGAGAGCAUAUUUAUGCACCAACUGGGCAUAGUAUUUUCUACCACUUCUGCCACACUAUAAACAGCCUGUGGAAGGGUCAUAUUCUGUAUUGGGUGCCAUAAUUUAAUUCACUGGACAAGUGCCUACUGCGUGUCUUCUGCAGAAAUACAGCAGGCAUGUAUGUGGAUUUGUGUGUGGUGGUUUAGGGAAAGAUGGAUGGCAGGAGAAAAAUGCAGGAAUAAAUACCAUGCGGUAAUCUCCCCACCCCUACCCCCACAGAGUUCCCAGGCUAACAAACCAGUAAGGAGCUGCAGACACAAAUAACCACAAAACCAGGUCAUUAUGCUACAUACAAGAGGACUCUUGAAGCUACAUUAUGCUGCAAGAGAGGACUCUGCUGAAGGAGCAGAGAUAAGCUGUGUUGAAGUGCUAAGCACCUAAUUGACACUCUGUAAAUGAGAACUGAAUGAGAAAGGCGUUCCGAUGAAGAGCCAAGAUGCAUUUCUGCACUGCAGAAAGUCGCACGUCAAGUGGAAAUCGAUACAAAAGACCACACUGACAGCUGACGGGGAGAGAGCACUUCACGGACCCUCAGGGAAGUCCAAUGGCUAAUUAGCAUGUGGCAUGCUCCAGGAAAACAAAGGUGGGCUUUCUUACUGGAUGCUCCAUGCAACUGGGGGAGCAGGAUAUGUCAGUAGACAAGAAAAAUAGGCGCCAUUGUGGAACUUCAAGGCCCCUUCAAGGACAUAGAACUCAUAGCCUCUGGCUAAGACAAGAAUGGCCAGACCCUUCUCAUCACCCCACCCAUCUCAUUGCAAUGCCCCCUCCCCCACCUUGAACCACCUGGCCUACUCCUUCCUACCCUCUACUAGGAAAGGUAUGUAGCCCACGACUCACCCUGAUCCUGUAGGGGCCUUAUAUGCCCACAAUCAACCAACAAUUGUAUCCUAAGACCCCUCUUGUCCCAACCAAUCAGCACGUCAGCAAGUGUAUCCUGAGACCUCUCCUCUCCCUGUGCUUUAAAAAUAGACACGACCAUGUGCCCAGGGUCAGCUCUUCCUGAUUAUCAGGAAGUCAACCCACGGCACUAGCAGUGCCUCUUAUCUCCAUAAACUUUUUCUUUUCACCCCCCCCACUAUGAAUCUAGAAAAUUCUUCUACCCACCCACACGUACAGACCAAUGACAGCCAAAUUAACACAAAUACAAAAUAUGUAAAGCUUUCAACAGGGAGCCACAAAGAUAGAACCUGCCGUUUUCACAAAAUAAGUAACAGUGAUGUCAUUUAAAAGGAAAAUUAAGUUGUAGGAAACCGACAGCCAUAUCGUUCAACUCAUGACACUAAUAUAGAGGGUGCCAGCAUCAUGUUCCAUGGAAGUGGCCAGCAUCUCAAAAGUUGACUUCCUUCUGAGCCAGUCAAACAAUAUGGGUCUCACUCUGUUGCUCCUAUUUUGGACAGAGAUGUCUUCAGAAUGACACUGCCUUGGUCAGUGUCUCCUCGGGCAGACAAUGACAAAGCAUUUUGUAUCUAGCCGAUAGCUGACUUGGAGGUCUCAUCCUACACACUUGUUAAUGGCAAUUUUCAUGGCACAAUCACUCCAAUCAACAGAACAUCAGAACAUCCAUGGUACCAAAAGAGGUGGACAAAGAUGUCAGCUCUCCAUACUGUCAUUCUGCCCAAGACCAAAGGGCUGACUUAGUAGAAAAUGCCUUUGACCAAGGAAGUGAACAGGGUUCAUACAUUUUUCAUGCAUGAGUAACUCAAAAUCCAGCACUUUCUUCUCACAAAGUCACUUAACGAAAUCAUCUUCCUCUGUCAAAAUGAAUUUGCAUCACCCUUGAGAUUUAAAACCGGUUAAUGUCCAGUUUCUCGUUAAAGCUGAUCUCUCCCUAAUCGGAUUCUGCCCUCACACAAACCUCCAUCACCUAGAAUCCCCCUUUCUCCAGCACUGUCUGUCUCUACUCUUUCCCCUGCGUGGAAUGACACCAGAGUAGCAAAGAUGAAGUUAAUUCUCAAUUUUAAUUAUUAGUAUACAAUGCUCAUUCUCUUGCAACAGAAUUCCCUUAUUUUAAGCCUCCCUUGACUGCAAAGUCCAGACUUUAUGACUUUGGCCAUGCCCACAGCAUCUGGAAGCUCCCGGGCUAGGGAUCGAACCCCCGCCACAGCAGCGACCGGAGCCCCAGCAGGGACAGUGUCAGACCCUUAACCCUAGUGCACCACAGGGGAAUGCUUAAGGCUUUAUGACCCUGAAAUCCAAACCACCACAAGCUCUCUUUACCAGCCUUGGGUCCUGGUUUCAUCCUUCAUACAGCUCAAUGGACAAACCAGAUGACAGAUUCUCUUAUAGACAUCUUAUGCCUUAAACUCCUCCUUUAUGAGGCCCUCAAGCACAGAAUAUGUUGAUCUCAUGAGCAGAAUGGACCAGAAUGAGCCCUGUCACCCAUGGAGACCCAACACUGCAUUCCCGCCCACCGCUUUGAUUUCAGCACUGAGGAAGGGGACAGCUCCACACCCCACUAGGAAAAGCUCUAACCAGCUUCGUGUCUCCCCACCCCCAUGUAAGGCCACGGGGGGUUCAAGCCCACAAGUCAACACCCUGUGACUACCAUCAAAGUAAUAAGAUAGGGUUAUGAAUGGAUUAGUGUCCCCAGGUUCAUAUCCUUCUUACCAAACAAUUUUACCCAGAACAUCUCCAUGGCCUUUUGUAAAAGGUUGAGCCAUGUUCUGUCUCUCUGAUCCAUUUUUCUUUCUUUCUUUUUUUUUUCUUUUGGUCUUUUUAGGGCUACACCCGUGGCAUAUGGAGGUUCCCAGGAUAGGGGUCGAAUCAGAGCUGAAGCAGCUGGCUUACACCACAGCCACAGCAGCACUGUUUCCGAGCUGCAUGUACAACCUACACCACAGCUCAAGGCAAUGCUGGAUCCUUAACCCCCUGGGCAAGGCCAGGGACUGAACCAGCAUCCUCAUGGAUACUAGUCAGAUUCAUUUCCUCUGAGCCAUGACAGGAAGUCCACUGAGCCAUGUUUCAUAUUAAAAUGGCAGUAUGACUGGCUAGAGAGAUACAGACUUAACGUCCUACUGCCCUUUCUUUUCAUAAAGAAACACAAGAAGUAUUUUUUUUUAUAGGUACCUGUUCUGUAAGUAAGGUGUUUCACAAGUCAAUAGCUGAAGAUUUGGGGUGACUUUGUACCCAGGGACCAGUUCAAUAGGAAAGCCAGCUCCACUGUAAUUUGAUCUGAAGAAGUGGUUGAAACAGAAACGGAAAUUGCCAUCAAACACAGAAGAUUGCUUUCGAGCAAUUUCCCUGUUUUAUGUUCAAAAGCGUUUAUUUUCAGAAACAUGGUCUGACUUUUCCUUUCCGAGGGAUCAAAUUCUCAACAUGUGCUUGGGUCUCUCUUUGCUUAAACGGCCUUAGAAUUCAACUGCGCUAUGCCCUGCUUCUUCAAAGCGCCCACCUCCCACCCCCGUGGAAUUCCUGGAGCGACCAAGGGAUGUCUGUCAGAACAGACAAAACCAAAGGCCCUUCACAGUUGCUCAGGGAAGCCUGGAUGGCACGGCAACAUCACACAGAGCUCAUCAGACUGCUUCAUCUUCUAUUCCUUUUUGCACAGAUGCACACAGGUAAGAAACCCAUAUUACAAGGGAGAGAGCCCUCAGGUGUGUGUCUACGAUCACAUCAGCAGCAGGAUUAAAACCGAGACAAAAUAACCCCACACAAAGAAACCCUGGAGUGAACACCGCUGAUGUUGAGUUGGCACCACUUAGAUGUAGCAAAUUGCAGAGAAAAGCUCCGGUUCAGCUGGAAGACUUUCCCUGGAUCUUAACCCUUCUCCAAAACCUUCUGAUAAACUGCCUUCCCAUAGCUAAACAUCUCCUCUGGGACCGUAUUAGCGAUCAACCUUAGAGCUUCUUUCCAGACAAAGUCAACUCUGAAAUUGGCCUCGGACCCCUGCUUUCCCCUCAACUCCCCGAAUUCUGUACCCACAUCUCUCUUUGUUCUGCUGACUGAUGUUGCUGCUCAGCUUUUUGAUAGACCAGAGGUAGGGUGGGGGGGAGAAUGAAGACUUAACAAGAGGCUUACUGGGAAAGUGAUUCUGAAUUAUUAAUAAAAAAAAAAAAACAAACAAAAACCCACAUCACAGUUUCAUUCUUUGAGAAGACAUGAACACUGAUUAUUCCACAUUUCCCCCAAAGAGAAACAACUGCAGUGCAAAAUGGAAAUUAACUCGUGUCCACGACAAUCCUGGGGAUGUGUUCAGCCUGCCGGUACGGCAUCCAUCUGUAUCAGGAGCCAUCUCAAGGGUGCGGAAAUGCCCAAAGACAACCCUAUCCCCAUGAAAGCAAACAGAGGCUGCUUUUCAGAGUUCGCUAUAGAAGGGGAGACAGCCACCAGCACAUUCCUGUGAGAGACUCAAAAGCAGGCAGAGAGUGGAAAGCAAUAUAGUGAGAAAAGGGUUGCAUUCGGAUUGCGGUGGGGAGGCUGCUGGCUGGAGGAUCCAGAGGCAGAGUGACCAGAGGUGGGGUACCCCACGUCAGUUUGGGGGAGCAUGCUUCACUUUCUCUGGCGGGUCCUGUGCUGGAAGAGAGGCAGAAAACAGAGAACCAUUCUGGGAUGGUUGUGGAAGAGGCUUCACAGAGCUGGUUGCUAAGGAGGGGACAAGCCUGCAUUCUAGUGGCAUAUACUGUCUGUCCACUGUCCAUUUCUGAUUUUGUUUUGUUUGUUUGUUUGUUUGCUUUUUCUUUUUAAGGCCACAUCUGUGGCAUAUGGAAGUUCCCAGGUGAGGGAUCAAAUCAGAGCUGCAGCUGAUGGCCCACACCACGCCAUAGCAAUGCCAGAUCUGAGCCAUGUCUGCAACCUGUACCACCGCUCACGGCAAGGCUGGAUCCUUAACCCAGUAAGCAAGGCCAGGGAUCAAACUCACAUCCUUGUGGAUUUAGUCAGAUUCGUUACCACCGAGCCACAACAGGUGCUCCCUGAAAAUCCUCAUUGCUAAAAUAAAGAACAGUAUCACAAACGGACUCACCCAGAGCCAGACAACCGAUGAAAGUCACGGUCUGGGUGAGGUGCUCCAAGCUCAGCAUGGACAAAGCAUGAUGCUCUAAAAUAUUUUCACAGAGGGUAAUUCUUGGCGGGGGGGGGGGUCCUUCUUCAGUUAAGUUUUACUUAAAAAUUUUUUUUGGUCAUGACCACAGCAUGCAGAAGCUCUAGAGCCAGGGAUCAAACUUGGACUAGAGCAGUGACUGCAGCCACAGCAGAGACAAUGCCAAAUAAAUCCUUAAACACUAGCCACCAGGGAAUUCCACUUUAAAUCUGAAAUUCACACGCGAAGUUAGGUAAAGCUAGAGCCCUACUUCUGCAUAAAACUUUUACUCGCCGUUGUAUUUACUUCAUAGAAACUGUUUGACUCUUGGUGUAAAACAGGCAUGUUCAGUUCUGCAUAAGAAUGGCUGUUAGAAUGAGCCAUUCCACAAACAGACAGACACUCUGAUGGACUACGAUGGAUAAUAACGCACCUUGACAGGCAUAUUGAACAUGUUUGCCAGGUCCAAAACUUCAAUAUCUCUCGAAGAAGGCAAAAAGCAACUAGUCACUGUGACAGCUAUCACCUAGAAACAUAAGGUGAAGGAGGGAGUGGGGUGGACGGGAAGUUUGAGGUUCGUAGAUGCAAACUCUUGCAUCUGGAGUGGAUAAGCCAUGAGGUCCUCUGGCUGUAUAGCACAGGGAACUCUAGCUAGCCACUUGCGAUGACACAUGAUGGAAGAUAAGGUGAGAAAAAGAAUGUAUAUACGUAUGUAUGACGGGGUCACUUUGCUGUUCAAUAGAAAUUGACAGAACAUUGUAAAUCAACC
rnacentral:lncRNA from 1 species